AGCGAGUGCUUAGUUCAGUGCCACACGCUAGUUUCGAGGCGUGACGUAACCUGGACAAUUGAGAAUCAACUAUGCACAAAAAUUUCUGACUCUCAAGAUUGUUCCUUAUUUUGUCCCAGCUCGGUGCCACCUCACAAUCACCACAAGCAACGAACACCAUUGCUACAGGACUGCCACAAUAUGCCACCACUGAAAUAAGAACAACACGAGUGUCAGAACAAUGUUAGACUGAAGCAAGAGCUACAAGGGAACGUGGCCAUGUCGAUAGAGGCUUCAGGCAAUAGGAACCAGGCAGAGACUUGAUAACCACCAAGCAAAACAAUAUGGUUUGAAAAAGCGGUACGACGGUUGAGAGGCGAUAGAUGCGUCGUCGGCGCAUUUAUCGCCGACCACAAAAAAGCCUUACUACCGAUUCUGGCGAAAUCCCACAACAACUAUGGACCGACCCUCCUCGACGCAACGGCGUCUGGGCCAGCAAAACUGCGACAUCAACAUUAGCCUAGACGUCUACUGUUCCCUACUGCCUACUAAGAACGACCGCAACAACAGCAGGAUGCAACCAAGCGCUAACAAAUACACUCUCACUCCUGUCUGGUUCGUUCACCGUACCCUUGACAAGUAUCUGUAACUGUAGAGCAGCCGCGCGGAAAGUCGGCCAAGCCGGAAGUGGAACGCAUCACAAACCGACAGGCCAGCGCGGCCUUUUCGUUCGAACUCUCCCCUUGAGUUCAAGUAGAGGAUAUAUGCAAUGUAACGUUGUACUGACGCUGUACUAGGCCGAUGGAUACUAGGAACGCUGCAUUUCGACUCGGCCUGCUCCCCGAAGAGUGAUAAACGUGUGGAAGGGGCGCAUUGACGGGACUGAGGCAGAGGAGGAAAACAAAAAAGUAAGCGAGCCAGCGAACAGUUGAGGAAGUUGUGCGAUGUACAGCGCAACGAUCCCCUCGACGGAAUAGAAUGAAACGACUGUUUGAGAGAGCGAUAUUAUCCUAAAUGUGUAUGUGCCUGUAAUCGCGUGUGUUGUGGCUUCAAAGAAGGACAUCAAAGAGCCUGAUUUCUAUAGGACCUAACAGGCAGUUUUGGCGCUUUCCCAAAGGGGACAGCUUCUUCAUUUUUCAUAUUUCACGGUCACUGCGUUUCCCUCUGUCGCUGCAGCAGCACCAGCUCCAGUGAUCGAGCUGCCUGCAAAGAUUCACAGGACAGGGUUUUUCUCUGGAAAGACCGUCAACUAGUCCUCGAGACUGCCGUCGACUCAACUCCUAUCUCAGAAAAAUCGGAGUCUGGCUUGCCGAGACCGUGCUCAGGGGAUCGGAUCCCAAGCGUCAUCAGUCCAUUCCUUCGACCAACUCAAUCUGCGGGUGGCGCGCGAGCGGCACCGAAUAGAAACGUUAUGUUGAAACAUUUGGGGGUUUUAAGGGGAAACGACCCCCCCCCCCCCACCUUGUCACCCAUGGCUUUUUCUCGGGCGGCUGCCUUGGCCAAGACUCGCUCAGGCUCUGUCUACUUCGACUAUUUGGCGAUAUAUUGACAGAACCAGCAAAGAGCUCCAGCAGAAAACGAGGCAAGAACAGCUGAAGGCGCAAAUGUGAAAGAGAAAUAUGGAAAACGAUUGCCUUGGCCUAUCUCGUCCUCAACGCCUUGAAGUUUUCGGUUUGCGCCGCACACGAUUACUGUGGAAAAAGAGGACCACGAUGUCCAAAAAAAGAGGAGAAGCACGAAAAUGUUCAAAGGCGUUAUCGUUCUCACCGAUACCGGCGUUGCUUUUUCGGUAGCCCCACCGUCGCCACAGCUUACAAGGAAUAGCGCAGGGAACAAGACUUAGACGAGACUCACUGAACUUGACCCAAGCGGAAAUCAUAGAGAGAUAGGGCCUAGGGGUAGAGCAUGGAGGAAAGCACUUCUCGGGAAAUAUCAGAAAGACUUCGGUGACCCCUCCAACCAUGUGCAGAAUAAUGAACGGCGAGACCAUCUGAUUCAACAGUUGUCCUUGCGCUUUUGCGGGCGCAAACGACUAAAGGUUCUGUUGAAAGAAAGAUAAAGAGGCAGCAGGUCGCUGACGAGGGAAGCAGAAAGGCUUGUCAAAGAAGGAGGAAAACGCACCUUUGAGGAAGCGCAGAACAAAGCGGAAAUAGGCGUAAAUGUACACACAACUGGUCUAAUAUAAGCUUAAGAGGCUUCAUAUAAUUUUUGUCCUGAGUCGUAAAUGAGUCAUCCACGAAGUGGAAGGCAACCUCAUAUAGUUACCAUCAAAAUGCAUUUACGCUUACAGCACUAAUCAUGACAAUUUAAUAUUAAAGCGCCAUUAAAUACAUUUAGGAAUAUCGCUGAUGAUGCGACACGCGAGGAAUUUCGUUUCGGAUCUUAUUAUUAGGUCGAACGACUUAGACGCUGCUUUUUAUCUAUAUAUAUUCCUCAUCUCUGACACAUUUGCAUAUGUGUGUAUAUAUAUAUUAUCUAGCGAAUGACUGUCUACUCAGUAUGAGCCAAUAGCCAUUUGAUCGGAUCAAAUAUGCGGUCAGUAUUGGUUAUGUAACGUACUAAAAUCAACUCUGAGAAGAGAAGCGGCAAUCCGGCGAGCGAAUGUGGCCGGUUCACUAAUUGGUGUCAAGAUAGCUCUA